GGGGGAUUAGCUCAGUUGGUAGAGCAGUUGACUCUUAAUCAAUUUGUCGCGAGUUCGAACCUCGCAUCCCCUACCA
rnacentral:tRNA from 5 species